GCAGUGAAAAGCUUGAGGUGUUACAAAUUCAGGUAUUCUAAUAGUUUGAGUUAUUUUUCAGCCUGCAUGGUUUCAAGGAAGAUGAGAUGGAGAGAUAGAACAUAUAUCGAGAAACCUGUGUCCGUAUCAUAAAGGUCUGUGUGUGUAUCCUGAAGAGGGAUUCAGUUGACUUUUGAAGGAACAAAUAUUUCGGCUCGUCCAUCUGAUGGCACAGACUGGAAAAGAGAAAAGCUACCGCACCAUCGUUCUCCUGGUAAUCAAGCCAAGAUCAGUCCACAUGCUGAGGGUUGCAACUCAAACACCACUAACAAGAUUUCACUUUGACUAGCUGACUUACAAAAUCUGACUGGAGAAAAUGAUGAAGGAAUCUAAAAUGUUGUUGCACGGACAAGCAAUCUUAGAAUAUAAGCACCUCAACGGGAAAACCACUGGUAAUUGAAGCUGGUGGAGCGCCGUGACAUCUCUCGUAAACAAGCUGCCGUUUAUGGACAAGGAUCACGUCAACGUUGCUACACUCCUAAAGCUGUGGCUGUCUUCAGGUCUUUUCUGCCUCGUGGGCAAAUCUGCAUGCCAGU